rnacentral:rRNA from 1 species
UACGUAGGGUGCGAGCGUUAAUCGGAAUUACUGGGCGUAAAGCGUGCGCAGGCGGUUUUGUAAGCCAGAUGUGAAAUCCCCGGGCUCAACCUGGGAACUGCAUUUGUGACUGCAUCGCUGGAGUGCGGCAGAGGGGGAUGGAAUUCCGCGUGUAGCAGUGAAAUGCGUAGAUAUGCGGAGGAACACCGAUGGCGAAGGCAAUCCCCUGGGACUGCACUGACGCUCAUGCACGAAAGCGUGGGGAGCAAACAGG